GGUCCAGACUCCUACGGGAGGCAGCAGUGGGGGAUAUUGCACAAUGGGGGGAACCCUGAUGCAGCGACGCCGCGUGGGCGAUGGAGUACUUCGGUAUGUAAAGCCCUAUCAGCAGGGAAGAAAAUGACGGUACCUGACUAAGAAGCCCCGGCUAACUACGUGCCAGCAGCCGCGGGAAUACGUAGGGGGCAAGCGUUAUCCGGAUUUACUGGGUGUAAAGGGAGCGUAGACGGCGGCGCAGGCCAGAUGUGAAAGCCCGGGGCUCAACUCCGGGACUGCAUUUGGAACUGUGUGGCUGGAGUGUCGGAGAGGCAGGCGGAAUUCCUAGUGUAGCGGUGAAAUGCGUAGAUAUUAGGAGGAACACCAGUGGCGAAGGCGGCCUGCUGGACGAUGACUGACGUUGAGGCUCGAAAGCGUGGGGAGCAAACAGGAUUAGAUACCCCUGUA
rnacentral:rRNA from 1 species